GGCGAACGCUGGCGGCGUGCUUAACACAUGCAAGUCGAACGGUGAAGGUGGGGCUUGCUCCGCCGGAUCAGUGGCGAACGGGUGAGUAACACGUGGGCAACCUGCCCCUCACUUCGGGAUAACUCCGGGAAACCGGGGCUAAUACCGGAUACGACCUCCUUGGGCAUCCUUGGAGGUGGAAAGUUUUUCGGUGAGGGAUGGGCCCGCGGCCUAUCAGCUUGUUGGUGAGGUAGUGGCUCACCAAGGCGACGACGGGUAGCCGGCCGGAGAGGGCGACCGGCGAGACUGGGACUGAGACACGGCCCAGACUCCUACGGGAGGCAGCAGUGGGGAAUAUUGCGCAAUGGGCGAAAGCCUGACGCAGCAACGCCGCGUGCGGGAUGAAGGCCUUCGGGUUGUAAACCGCUUUCAGCAGGGAAGAAGCCGCAAGGUGACGGUACCUGCAGAAGAAGCACCGGCUAACUACGUGCCAGCCGCCGCCGUAA
rnacentral:rRNA from 1 species